AUUGAACGCUGGCGGCAGGCCUAACACAUGCAAGUCGAGCGAGCGGCGGACGGGUGAGUAAUGUAUGGGAAACUGCCUGAUGGAGGGGGAUAACUACUGGAAACGGUAGCUAAUACCGCAUACCCUCAGAUGUGCCCAGAUUGGAUUAGCUAGUAGGGGGGGUAAUGGCUCACCUAGGCGACGAUCCCUAGCUGGUCUGAGAGGAUGAACAGCCACCCUGGAACUGAGAGACGGGACAGACGCCUACGGGAGGCAGCAGUGGGGAAUAAUGCACAAGGGGCGCAAGCCGGAUGCAGCAAGGCCGCGUGUGUGAAGAAGGCCUUCGGGGUGUAAAGCACUUUCUGCGGGGAGGCGUUACUCGCAGAAGAAGCACCGACUAACUCCGUGCCAGCGGCCGCGGUAAUUC
rnacentral:rRNA from 1 species